rnacentral:rRNA from 1 species
UUAUACAGCGAAACUGCGAAUGGCUCAUUAUAUAAGUUAUCGUUUAUUUGAUAGUACCUUACUACUUGGAUAACCGUGGUAAUUCUAGAGCUAAUACAUGCUAAAAAUCCCGACUUCGGAAGGGAUGUAUUUAUUAGAUACAAAACCAAUGCCCCUCGGGGCUCUCUGGUGAUUCAUGAUAACUCGUCGAAUCGCACGGCCUUGCGCCGGCGAUGGUUCAUUCAAAUUUCUUCCCUAUCAACUUUCGAUGUUUGGGUAGUGGCCAAACAUGGUGGCAACGGGUAACGGAGGGUUAGGGCUCGACCCCGGAGAAGGAGCCUGAGAAACGGCUACUACAUCCAAGGAAGGCAGCAGGCGCGCAAAUUACCCAAUCCCGAUACGGGGAGGUAGUGACAAUAAAUACUGAUACAGGGCUCUUUUGGGUCUUGUAAUUGGAAUGAGUACAAUUUAAAUCCCUUAACGAGGAACAAUUGGAGGGCAAGUCUGGUGCCAGCAGCCGCGGUAAUUCCAGCUCCAAUAGCGUAUAUUAAAGUUGUUGUGGUUAAAAAGCUCGUAGUUGAAUCUUGGGCCUGGCUGGCCGGUCCGCCUCACCGCGUGUACUGGUCCGGCCGGGUCUUUCACUCUGCGGAACCACAUGCCCUUCAGUGGGUGUGGCGGGGAAGCAGGACGUUUACUUUGAAAAAAUUAGAGUGCUCUAAGCAGGCCAAUGCUCGGAUACAUUAGCAUGGAAUAAUAAAAUAGGACGCGCGGUUCUAUUUUGUUGGUUUCUAGGACCGCCGUAAUGAUGAAUAGGGACAGUCGGGGGCAUCAGUAUUCAGUUGUCAGAGGUGAAAUUCUUGGGAUCUACUGAAGACUAACUACUGCGG